rnacentral:rRNA from 1 species
CCGCACAGUAAACGAUGAAUACUCGCUGUUGGCGAUAUACAGUCAGCGGCCAAGCGAAAGCAUUAAGUAUUCCACCUGGGGAGUACGCCGGCAACGGUGAAACUCAAAGGAAUUGACGGGGGCCCGCACAAGCGGAGGAACAUGUGGUUUAAUUCGAUGAUACGCGAGGAACCUUACCCGGGCUUGAAUUGCUUCUGAAUGAUCUGGAAACAGGUCCGCCGCAAGGCAGAAGUGAAGGUGCUGCAUGGUUGU